UACGAAGGGGGGCUAGCGUUGUUUCGGAAUUACUGGGCGUAAAGGGCGUGUAGGCGGUUUGUUAAGUCAUGUGUGAAAUCCCUCGGCUCAACCGGGGAAGGACGCAUGAAACUGGCAGCUAGAGUACCAAAGAGGGGGGUGGAAUCCCGGUGUAGCGGUGAAAUGCGUAGAUAUCGGGAGGAACACCUGUGGCGAAGGCGGCCCCC
rnacentral:rRNA from 1 species